rnacentral:rRNA from 1 species
AGUGAACGCUGGCGGUAGGCCUAACACAUGCAAGUCGAACGGCAGCACAGUAAGAGCUUGCUCUUACGGGUGGCGAGUGGCGGACGAGUGAGGAAUACAUCGGAAUCUACUUUUUCGUGGGGGGUAACGUAGGGAAACUUACGCUAAUACCGCAUACGACCUACGGGUGAAAGCAGGGGAUCUUCGGACCUUGCGCGAUUGAAUGAGCCGAUGUCGGAUUAGCUAGUUGGCGGGGUAAAGGCCCACCAAGGCGACGAUCCGUAGCUGGUCUGAGAGGAUGGUCGGCCACACUGGAACUGGGACACGGUCCAGACUCCUACGGGAGGCAGCAGUGGGGAAUAUUGGACAAUGGGCGCAAGCCUGAUCCAGCCAUACCGCGUGGGUGAAGAAGGCCUUCGGGUUGUAAAGCCCUUUUGUUGGGAAAGAAAAGCAGCAGGUUAAUACCCCGCUGUUCUGACGGUACCCAAAGAAUAAGCACCGGCUAACUUCGUG